rnacentral:rRNA from 1 species
AGUGAACGCUGGCGGUAGGCCUAACACAUGCAAGUCGAACGGCAGCACAGUAAGAGCUUGCUCUUACGGGUGGCGAGUGGCGGACGGGUGAGGAAUACAUCGGAAUCUACUUUUUCGUGGGGGAUAACGUAGGGAAACUUACGCUAAUACAGCAUAUGACCUACGGGUGAAAGCAGGGGAUCUUCGGACCUUGCGCGAUUGAAUGAGCCGAUGUCGGAUUAGCUAGUUGGCGGGGUAAAGGCCCACCAAGGCGACGAUCCGUAGCUGGUCUGAGAGGAUGAUCAGCCACACUGAAACUGAGACACGAUCCAGACUCCUACGGGAGGCAGCAGUGGGGAAUAUUGGACAAUGGGCGCAAGCCUGAUCCAGCCAUACCGCGUGGGUGAAGAAGGCCUUCGGGUUGUAAAGCCCUUUUGUUGGGAAAGAAAAGCAGCAGGUUAAUACCCCGCUGUUCUGACGGUACCCAAAGAAUAAGCACCGGCUAACUUCGU